rnacentral:rRNA from 1 species
UAAGGAAUAUUGGUCAAUGGGCGCAAGCCUGAACCAGCCAUGCCGCGUGCAGGAAGACGGCCCUACGGGUUGUAAACUGCUUUUAUACGGGAAUAAACCUCGGUACGUGUACCGAGCUGAAUGUACCGUAAGAAUAAGGAUCGGCUAACUCCGUGCCAGCAGCCGCGGUAAUACGGAGGAUCCAAGCGUUAUCCGGAUUUAUUGGGUUUAAAGGGUGCGUAGGCGGCUUUUUAAGUCAGGGGUGAAAGACGGUGGCUCAACCAUCGCAGUGCCCUUGAUACUGAAGAGCUUGAAUACACUAGAGGUAGGCGGAAUGAGACAAGUAGCGGUGAAAUGCAUAGAUAUGUCUCAGAACACCAAUUGCGAAGGCAGCUUACUAUGGUGUUAUUGACGCUGAGGCACGAAAGCGUGGGGAUCAAACAGG